AGAGUUUGAUCAUGGCUCAGAUUGAACGCUGGCGGCAUGCCUAACACAUGCAAGUCGAACGGAAACGAUGCUAGCUUGCUAGCAGGCGUCGAGUGGCGGACGGGUGAGUAAUGUAUAGGAACUUGCCCAGUAGUGGGGGACAACUUAUGGAAACGUAAGCUAAUACCGCAUAAUCUCUACGGAGCAAAGCAGGGGAUCUUCGGACCUUGCGCUAUUGGAUAGGCCUAUAUUGGAUUAGCUAGUUGGUGAGGUAAUGGCUCACCAAGGCGACGAUCCAUAGCUGGUUUGAGAGAAUGAUCAGCCACACUGGGACUGAGACACGGCCCAGACUCCUACGGGAGGCAGCAGUGGGGAAUAUUGCACAAUGGAGGAAACUCUGAUGCAGCAAUGCCGCGUGUGUGAAGAAGGCCUUAGGGUUGUAAAGCACUUUCAAUAGGGAGGAAAAGUAAGUAGUUAAUAACUGCUUACCCUGACGUUACCUAUAGAAGAAGGACCGGCUAACUCCGUGCCAGCAGCCGCGGUAAUACGGAGGGUCCGAGCGUUAAUCGGAAUUACUGGGCGUAAAGCGCGCGUAGGCGGAUAUAUAAGUCAGAUGUGAAAGCCCUGGGCUCAACCUAGGAACUGCAUUUGAAACUGUAUAUCUAGAGUAUGGUAGAGGUGAGUGGAAUUUCAGGUGUAGCGGUGAAAUGCGUAGAGAUCUGAAGGAACAUCAGUGGCGAAGGCGACUCACUGGGCCAUUACUGACGCUGAGGUGCGAAAGCGU
rnacentral:rRNA from 1 species